rnacentral:rRNA from 1 species
GACGAACGCUGGCGGCGUGCUUAACACAUGCAAGUCGAACGGUGACGAUCAAGCUUGCUUGGUCUGAUCAGUGGCGAACGGGUGAGUAACACGUGAGUAACCUGCCCCUGACUCUGGGAUAACCCCGGGAAACCGGAGCUAAUACCGGAUACGACACGCCUCCGCAUGGGGAGCGUGUGGAAAGUUUUUCGGUCUGGGAUGGACUCGCGGCCUAUCAGCUUGUUGGUGAGGUAAUGGCUCACCAAGGAGACGACGGGUAGCCGGCCUGAGAGGGCGAGCGGCCACACUGGGACGGAGACACGGCCCAGACUCCUACGGGAGGCAGCAGAGGGGAAUAUUGCACAAGGGGCGAAAGCCUGAUGCAGCGACGCCGCGUGAGGGAUGACGGCCUUCGGGUUGUAAACCUCUUUCAGCAGGGAAGAAGCGCAAGUGACGGUACCUGCAGAAGAAGCACCGGCUAACUACGUGCCAGCCGCCGCGGUAAUAC